rnacentral:lncRNA from 1 species
CUUUGGUAUAGUUUCUUCAAGUUCUGAAUUAAUUUGUUUUCACAGAGAAAAAUCUAAUCUUUCUCUGACACUCUGCAAUGAGAAGAAUGAGGUUAUAGCCCAUGCUGUCUUUCUGGACUAUCCAAAUUGGAAUAUCACUGAUCAAUCUGAUUGGGAAUCAUUCUUACAUAAAAACUACCUUAACAACAAAUGCACUCCUUUGAACACGCUGUUCAUGCAUCUUUUUGUGGCAAAAGAGGAAUAUGCAGCUGGAUGUUCCCAAGAAAUUAUUAGGAAGGUUUUUAUUGAAAUACCAGAACUGCAGUUCAUACUUCUCUUCAUACCAGCUGAUGAGAAUUUAGAGCCAGGCUUGGAAAGCGCCUUUGAAAAGAUGGUAACUGCUCCAGGUUCAGCAGUGGAUGCAAACUUUACUUUGCUUAUGAGCCCCAGACA